GCUGGGAUAGCUCAAUUGGCAGAGCUCCGGUUUUGUAAACCGGAGGUUGCGGGUUCAAGUCCCGCUCCCAGCUCCA
rnacentral:tRNA from 1 species